ACCGUUUUUUAUUUACUCGUUACUUGAAAACAAUUAAAUUAAUUAAACAAAAUAAUAAAAUGAUGAUGUGGCGCGCCAUAGGGCGCACCUUAGGGCGCCCCAUUGCUAAUGCUCUAAUUAAACCUAUGUUUGGUUCAAUAUUUACCUUUUUUGCAAGGCCCAAGUUUUUGUCACUGGCCCGCUCCAUAAAUGCACAUUUUUGUAUCUGCACAAAUUUGAGAUAUAGCGUAUCUUUUUCUCAUUUUUUUUUAUUUAUAUCUUACUUAAUUUACCAAAAUAACCCUCUGUUUUACCGCAAUAUCCAUUUCUCAUAUUUGUGCGUACAUAUCACCAUAUUUGCCUCCUUCAACCUCAAGCUAUUUUAAAAACUACCGACGGCCGCAGCAGUUUUUUUGAAGAAGGUACAUGGGAACCCCACACUGACUUCGGCGCGAAGAGAAGGUUAGUAUUCUGAGAUUGCAUUUUCGGUACAAAAGCCAUAAUUUUUUCCACAACAUCGUAAGAACAUUUUGAGCCAACUAAUUGGCAAUCUGGGUUACCCAAUUAUGGUUUUCAAAAGUUGUCUUCUUUAUUCGAUUGGCUUCAACAAGCCAUCUCGUUUGAAAGCUUCAAAAUUCGUUCUUUUUGUUUUGGUUUGCCGAAAUUUAAUGUGGUGCUGGGCGUAGCUAGGAUUUCAUCUCAGAAGGGGCAAAAUUUUGUAUAUAGGAAAAAUUUAUCUAUUUAAGAAGGGGCAAUUAGUAUAAUUAGAGUAUAUAAAUGGAAAUUUAUAUGUAAAUGUAUAAGAGUGAGGGAGGGGUGAGGAGGGGCAAUUGCCCCAGCACCUUGCAAGCUGGAUCCGACUGCUGCUAGACAAAAAAUUGAUAAGUUUUUGUUUUAAUUUGGUAAUAUUUUGUUAGCAAUAUUGAACAAUAUACAGAGUUGGAAUGGUUUCAAAUUGAUACGAUGAAAAGAUUGUGUUAUUGAGGAUUGUGAUCAAUUGUGAUAUCCAUCUUCUAUGCAGAUAUGUUUUUGUCGAUACUUAUUUUAGUUUCAAGUUUAUGCUGCCAAUACAUAUCAUUAUGGAAGACUUGGUCUGGUGGCUUCAUAUAUUUCAUUUGUUUGACACAGUAAUUUUAUUUACUCAUAAUUGCUUGUUGAUAAAUGGAUCGAACUUGUAAAAAAGAAAAACUGUGUUGCAUACGAUGGAAGAGAUUAUACUGAAUUAUCAUGUAGCUUGACUAUGUAUCAUGUACCUGAUCCUCAAACAAUUGGGUGGACUCAAUAAACGGAAGAGAAUUGAACUUGUACUACCUUACAACAUCAACGGCAAAAUGCCUAAGCAAGUCAGCCACAUGAACAGAUUGGUUUGUGGUCAAUCUUAGGAUGGACCGGAAUGCAUUUGGUAGGCUAUGUGCGUUGUUCCGACAGCUGGGCACUCUUUGUGACAAGCGGUUUGUGUAUAUUGAAGAACAAGUGGCCAUUUUUUUGGGCAUAUUAGCACAUCACAAGAAGAUUCGUCUCUGUGGGUUUGAUUUUUUUUGCAGUCCGGCCACACUAUUCAUGCUACGUCCAUGAGGUAUUUCGAGCUAUCUUGAAAGUACACACGUUGUUUAUCGUCAAACCUGAGGCAAUACCUGAUAAUUGUGUGGAUUGGAGGUGGAAACAUUUCAAGGGUUGUCUCGGUGCUCUCGAUGGUACUUUUUAAAAUGUUUUGGUUUCUAAUUCCGACAAACCACGCCAAGGGUCAAAUUACAACAAAUACUCUAGCAGCAUGUGAUCGACAUAUGCGGUUCACGUACAUAUUACCUGGAUGGGAAGGAUCUGCCGGUGACGCUCGAGUUCUUCGAGAUGCUGUCAGUCUCCCCUAUGGUCUAAGGGUCCUAUAGGUAUUGUAUUUCACACUUUAGUUCACAUAAAACGGACCUCUCAUGUGUGGUCUUGCUUUUGAAAGGAAAUUACUAUCUCUGCGACAAUGGGUACGCAAAUAGCCAAAGUUUUCUAACUCUAUAUAAAGAUGCUCGAUACCAUCUAAAGGAAUGGGGCUUGAACGCAGACACACCACAAAAUGCAGUCGAGUUGUUCAAUAUGCGUCAUACUAAGGCAAGAAAUGUAAUUGAACGGGCAUUUCGCUAUAUUGAAGAUGAGAUUUGGCAUACUACGGAGUGCAUCCUUCUAUCCCAUCAAGGUACAAGUUUGUUUGAUAUCGGCGUGUUUUUUACUACAUAACUACAUCAAGAGCGAGAUGGUUGUCGAUCCUCUAGACGAUCUCGUAGACCACUGGGUUGAUGGUAUCGGCACAAAUGCAGAGGCAUGUGAUGUCGAUUAUGUGGAGGCAAUAACUGACUGGAAGCUCUUUCGAGACCAACUAGCAAACACAAUGUGGUCUCUGGUAAAACUAUUGUUUUACAUUGUAAUUUAAAGACAAACAUCGAAACGGUCGGAGCAUAUUUUUUGGAAGUGUUUGCAGGUCCCGGAAGCAGCUCGAACCUGCAUAGCGUUCCAACCUCUAGCUCAUCAUGCGAGCAAAUUUGUUCCAUCCUCUCCUCUGCAUAUCCAAACGUCACCAUCUUUUAUCUUCACGAAGACAUCCCACGAAUUUAUGCCUACCCAUAAGGUCACUGAUUCAACAGAAUCUUUAUCUUGGAUGUGAGUUUUCCACCGUAUGUUCGGCAAGUUCUACAUCUAUAAUUUCAACGUCAAGGCAUAAAAGAAAUAACUAUAAAGAGUGAUGUAAUUACCAGUCCACGCUCCAAGUCAGACGUCAUCAAAACACAUGUGAAUGCAGGCAACGCCGACACAACUCUAGAUUGGUCAUAGUGAGGCUCAAGAUCACUGUCUUCGCUGAUGGCUGAAGACGAGUGUGUGACCUCUUUCGAUGUUGUUGUAUUGAACAAACCUUGGCCAGUUCUCAUCGAAGUAAAUUUCCCUGUUGAUUUUUGAUAUCCCAACCUUCCAAGGUAUUCCAUUUGGCAGCUGAAGUUCGCAUACACAGCAAAUCAUAGUGGAUGGAACCUCUAAAAUAAAACAUAAAUGUCAUACCAAACGGAUGUCGUAGUCAUCGCUGAACAUAAUUUUGCAGAAUGAAGGUUUCUAAUUCCUACGUCGAUGCGUGGCGAGGUCAAGAAGAUGUCAAUAUAGUUGUCGAAGAAAAUGGCUGAGUGGGAUGGUUUGGUCAUCCCCUUCGACGUACUCGAGCAAGUUUCGACCGUGAUCACAGCUGACCUGGGGCUCACCUUCUCGUGGCGUGAGUGGUUCGAGCGCUUUCGAUUCUUUGAGCAUCGUUAUCGUACCUUCAAAAUGGUUCAUGACACGGAAGGCGUUUACUGUAAUUUCAACACUAACGAGGUGAUAGCUCCAGUGGACGUCGGGGGAGAGAUUAUUGAAGGUUUCUUUAUUCUUUACUUCUGAUUUAUUUCAUUCAAAUCGAAAUAAUUGUAUUGUAAUGCAAUGUGGAAAAAGUUUAAGCAUUCUCUGAAGAAGAAGAAGAAGAAGAGGAGCAGUAGAAGAAAGAGUGAUGGCAGAGUCGGUUCUGUUUGAAUUGAAGAUAUCAGGGAUGCGGUGGAAUUACAAGCUGUUGAGUCAUUUAGACAAGCCUUGAUAUUUGAUGAGUUGCUACCAGACAAGUUUUAUGAUGCUUAGGUAGACAAGCACUGAAAAUAGCACAAGCAAAAAAAGUGACCACCUUCCCAAACAAGCAUGCAAAGUUACAAGUUCGAAUUACACAAUCCUAUAGCCUUUCACAGGAGAAGACAAUAUGUGAUCGAUCUACCAAACUAACACGAGGUAGCAAUACUACCAGGUAUCAUUUUCAAUUAUCUUUUAACCAUAGUUAUAUUUCUAUAGUUUGAUUUUAACCACAGUUGUACAUUCUUAGUUUCAUUAUAAUCAUCACUUGCUGUCGCACAAGGCAAUAACCAUCUCCCACAUUCCACAACAAUCACAUAACCAUAUCCCACAUUCCACAACAAUGGCCGAUAGCAAGGCUUCUUCUAGUUCCUGCCCUAGCUUCCCUCGGGAGAAGCUGAUCACGUUUGAGCAAGCCUUGAAGCAUGUUGAGAUGAAACUUCAAAAUGAAUUAGCAGACUUGGCACAUCUCAUGCGGCUCCUGAUGGACAUUCCGAAAACCUACCGACCGCCGGUGAGGAUGGACAAGAUGGACGAACUCAAACAUCUGAUCUGCUGCCCCACAGCCACCGUUAAUGUCCACCUCGACGACCCCCCUCCCCAAGGAAGGCGAGGAAAGUGAACACACCCUAGUAGAAAUUUAUUAGUUUCAUUUACAAAUGUCAUUUCUAUGUUCCACUCUUUUCGUAGGUAUUUAUGGGAUUGAGUCAGAUAACCUUAUUUUCAUUGGAGUCUAAAAUGAUGAAUUAUAGGGGAAACUUUCUAUAA